rnacentral:lncRNA from 1 species
GCAGUUCAUGCAGCUAGCAAGUGGUUUGUUCUUAGGGUAACAGAGGAGGAAAUUGUUCCUCGUCUGAUAAGACAACAGUGGAGAAAGGACGCAUGCUGUUUCUUAGGGACACGGCUGACUUCCAGAUAUGACCAUGUAUUUGUGGCUUAAACUCUUGGCAUUUGGCUUUGCCUUUCUGGACACAGAAGUAUUUGUGACAGGGCAAAGCCCAACACCUUCCCCCACUGAUGCCUACCUUAAUGCCUCUGAAACAACCACUCUGAGCCCUUCUGGAAGCGCUGUCAUUUCAACCACAACAAUAGCUACUACUCCAUCUAAGCCAACAUGUGAUGAAAAAUAUGCAAACAUCACUGUGGAUUACUUAUAUAACAAGGAAACUAAAUUAUUUACAGCAAAGCUAAAUGUUAAUGAGAAUGUGGAAUGUGGAAACAAUACUUGCACAAACAAUGAGGUGCAUAACCUUACAGAAUGUAAAAAUGCGUCUGUUUCCAUAUCUCAUAAUUCAUGUACUGCUCCUGAUAAGACAUUAAUAUUAGAUGUGCCACCAGGGGUUGAAAAGUUUCAGUUACAUGAUUGUACACAAGUUGAAAAAGCAGAUACUACUAUUUGUUUAAAAUGGAAAAAUAUUGAAACCUUUACUUGUGAUACACAGAAUAUUACCUACAGAUUUCAGUGUGGUAAUAUGAUAUUUGA